rnacentral:rRNA from 1 species
UGGGGAAUAUUGCACAAUGGGCGCAAGCCUGAUGCAGCGACGCCGCGUGAGGGAUGACGGCCUUCGGGUUGUAAACCUCUUUCAGCAGGGACGAAGCGCAAGUGACGGUACCUGCAGAAGAAGCACCGGCCAACUACGUGCCAGCAGCCGCGGUAAUACGUAGGGUGCGAGCGUUGUCCGGAAUUACUGGGCGUAAAGAGCUCGUAGGCGGUUUGUCGCGUCGUCUGUGAAAUUCUGCAGCUUAACUGCAGGCGUGCAGGCGAUACGGGCAGACUUGAGUACUACAGGGGAGACUGGAAUUCCUGGUGUAGCGGUGAAAUGCGCAGAUAUCAGGAGGAACACCGGUGGCGAAGGCGGGUCUCUGGGUAGUAACUGACGCUGAGGAGCGAAAGCGUGGGUAGCGAACAGGAUUAGAUACCCUGGUAGUCCACGCCGUAAACGGUGGGUACUAGGUGUGGGUUCCAUUUCACGGGAUCCGUGCCGUAGCUAACGCAUUAAGUACCCCGCCUGGGGAGUACGGCCGCAAGGCUAAAACUCAAAGGAAUUGAC